GCAGUGACCUUUAUUGAUGAGAGGGGCAGAGGAAGAAAAUGAAAAGAAGAAGGAAAAGGUGAAGAAAGACACUAAGAGGAAAAGUAACUGCUAAUCAAACCAAGAACUCCUGGCUAAAGGGUAAUCCUGUGACCUCCAAAUGUGUCAUUUGUUAUUUUGACAGCUCCUCUUGAGGUGAUAGACUAGAAGAAGCCACUAGCAUCAUCGUCAGCCAGCUGGGAGUUCCACCUCUUGCUUCCUUAAGACAUUAGUAACUGGAUAACCACAGACAUGCCUUUCAGAUCAUGUUUUAAAACCUUCCCCGUCUGGCGUUGGGAACGCAGCCGCGGCUUCGUGGUGGAUAGCAAGAGGCAAAGAAAUGUUCUCUGUGGACAAGUGGACAGGGAAUGGAGCCAACUUGGGACCCCAGCGGUGGAAGCCCAGGCACCCAAGCGCCUGGACCGGCAGGACACACCCUCUCAUGCGGUUUGGAGGUGGCCAUUGUGAGAAAGGUGGAAAAAGUCCUGGGAUCCAUAGGAAAUGAAUGGGUGAUACAUUUCCUCAGGAUCUGCCUGAUUGUUUUGCGAGUCUCAUUGGCUUUUGCAUCCCAUCGGCCCUGCGCGUAAUGUAUCCUUUCACAAAUGACAGCAAUAGGGUCAUCAGAGCCCAGCCCUGGCUCCUUCCUGCGGGAAGAUGGGGGCUUGUUGGAUGGCAGUGACUGGUCCAGCGGGCGAGUCCCCCAGACUGGGAACCGAAGCCUCUCGCGGGUCGUGUCAUCUGAGCAGAGAAGAACAGCUCACACACAGCUGUCAGGGCUCUUUUCCACCUGUGAUGUUCAUUCCAGGAUUCCCAGGUACCUCUUUACCGUGUGCCAAGCUCUCAGCUUGCCAGGGACACCAGGGUUGGUGAAUCACGCUGCCCUUGCCCUUGUGGGAUCAGAGAUGAAUCCUGCCGUCACCCCAUGAAUACUGAAUUACAGCCAGGGUGAGGACAAUGAGGACAGAGUACUGGGCACUGUGACACAGUGAAAUGGCAGGGCUGGGGUUGGGGGGGGGCCUCCAAGGUGGGGUCAUCUUUAUUUUAUAUAAAAUUUGAGAUUUUGCUCAUGGAUUUCUUUCGUGUCAAUUUUGAUUCUUUAAAAUAUUGCACUUAC